rnacentral:miRNA from 1 species
UAGGUUGGUGCAAAAGUAAUUGCGGUUUUUACCAGUACUUGCAACCACAAAAACCGCAAGUACUUUUGCACCAACCUAAUAC